GCUUUUGGAGUUUCUAACUCCCACCCAUGUGAACUUACCUUUUGUUGCCUCGGCAGAAGUUAUAGGUCUUCUUAUAGCUGCUGCCGGUGGACCAUUAAACUCUUGUUAUUUUAUGUAAUCUGAGCGUCUUAUUUUAAUAAGUCAAAACUUUCAACAACGGAUCUCUUGGUUCUGGCAUCGAUGAAGAACGCAGCGAAAUGCGAUAAGUAAUGUGAAUUGCAGAAUUCAGUGAAUCAUCGAAUCUUUGAACGCACAUUGCGCCCAUUAGUAUUCUAGUGGGCAUGCCUGUUCGAGCGUCAUUUCAACCCUUAAGCCUAGCUUAGUGUUGGGAAUCUACUUCUUUAUAGUUGUAGUUCCUGAAAUACAACGGCGGAUUUGUAGUAUCCUCUGAGCGUAGUAAUUUUUUUCUCGCUUUUGUUAGGUGCUAUAACUCCCAGCCGCUAAACCCCCAAUUUUUUGUGGUUGACCUCGGAUCAGGUAGGAAUACCCGCUGAACUUAAGCAUAUCAAUAAGCGGAGGAA
rnacentral:rRNA from 1 species